UCAUUUAUUAUAGCAUUUACUAAGUACUUAACACUGUGCUUGGUGGUGUGCUGGGCUCUAGGAAGAAAAAAAAAUUAGAGGCCAAAGCUCCUCAUAAAAGCAGACAGGUGGAUAAUGGAUUGACCCUCUAAUUACAGUUGAUGAAUGGAAGGGCCAGCAUGUAAACCCAGUUCUUUUACUCUCCGAGGUUGAGAAGGAACAUCGUGCACAGAUAUGGAAAGCACAGGCUUGAAGGCCUCUGGAGAAGAGAUGGGGCAGGAGAAUGAGGGAACCGGAGGAAGAAUCUGCUGACAGCCCAGGA